rnacentral:rRNA from 1 species
CACGUGGGAACGUGCCUUUAGGUUCGGAAUAGCUCCUGGAAACGGGUGGUAAUGCCGAAUGUGCCCUUCGGGGGAAAGAUUUAUCGCCUUUAGAGCGGCCCGCGUCUGAUUAGCUAGUUGGUGAGGUAAUGGCUCACCAAGGCGACGAUCAGUAGCUGGUCUGAGAGGAUGACCAGCCACAUUGGGACUGAGACACGGCCCAAACUCCUACGGGAGGCAGCAGUGGGGAAUCUUGCGCAAUGGGCGAAAGCCUGACGCAGCCAUGCCGCGUGAAUGAUGAAGGUCUUAGGAUUGUAAAAU